rnacentral:rRNA from 1 species
AAAGGAAUAGACGGGGGCCCGCACAAGCAGUGGAGUAUGUGGUUUAAUUCGAAGCAACGCGAAGAACCUUACCAGGUCUUGACAUCCCGGCGAAACACCUAGAGAUAGGCGCCCUCUUCGGAGCGCCGGAGACAGGUGGUGCAUGGUUGUCGUCAGCUCGUGUCGUGAGAUGUUGGGUUAAGUCCCGCAACGAGCGCAACCCUUGCCAUUAGUUGCUACGCAAGAGCACUCUAAUGGGACCGCUACCGACAAGGUGGAGGAAGGUGGGGACGACGUCAAAUCAUCAUGCCCCUUAUGACCUGGGCUACACACGUACUACAAUGGCCGUCAACAGAGGGAAGCGAACACGCGAGUGGGAGCAAACCCCCAAAAGCGGUCUCAGUUCAGAUUGCAGGCUGCAACCCGCCUGCAUGAAGUCGGAAUUGCUAGUAAUCGCGGAUCAGCAUGCCGCGGUGAAUACGUUCCCGGGCCUUGUACACACCGCCCGU